GCCCCCGUAGCGCAGAGGUUAGCGUGUCCGCUUAUGACGCUGAACGACUGGGUUUGAAUCCUAGCGUGACCG
rfam:Stomoxys calcitrans breed 8C7A2A5H3J4 unplaced genomic scaffold Scaffold260, whole genome shotgun sequence.